rnacentral:rRNA from 1 species
UACGUAGGGUGCGAGCGUUAAUCGGAAUUACUGGGCGUAAAGCGUGCGCAGGCGGUGAUGUAAGACAGGUGUGAAAUCCCAGGGCUUAACCUUGGAACUGCAUUUGUGACUGCAUCGCUGGAGUGCGGCAGAGGGGGAUGGAAUUCCGCGUGUAGCAGUGAAAUGCGUAGAUAUGCGGAGGAACACCGAUGGCGGAAGGCAAUCCCCUGGGCCUGCACUGACGCUCAGUGCACGAAAGCGUGGGGAGCAAACAGG